rnacentral:rRNA from 1 species
AUUGAACGCUGGCGGCAUGCCUAACACAUGCAAGUCGAACGCGAAAGCGGGGCAACCCGCAAGUAGAGUGGCGAACGGGUGAGUAACGCGUAAGAAUCUACCCUCCGGUGGGGGAUAACCCGGCGAAAGCCGGGCUAAUACCGCAUACGUCCUACGGGGGAAAGCGGGGGACCUUCGGGCCUCGCGCUGGGGGAUGAGCCUGCGUCCGAUUAGCUAGUUGGUAGGGUAAUGGCCUACCAAGGCGACGAUCGGUAGCUGGUCUGAGAGGACCACCACCCACACUGGGACUGAGACACGGCCCACACUCCUACGGGAGGCAGCAGUGGGGAAUCUUGGGCAAUGGGGGCAACCCUGACCCAGCAAUGCCGCGUGGGUGAAGAAGGCCUUCGUGUUGUAUAGUCCUUUCGGCAGGAACGAAAAGUGUCCGACGAAUACCCGGGCAUCUUGACGGUACCUGCAAAAGACGCACCGGCUAUCUCUGUGCCAGCAGCCGCGGUAAUACAGAGGGUGCGAGCGUUAAUCGGAAUUACUGGGCGUAAAGCGUGCGUA